ACGCGUGCGGUGGAGACAUUUUGUUAUUUAUUUAUUUCAUUUUAUAUCGACUCCCCCGCUAUCUAAACGGUAGACAAUGACCAGAUGUUGAUAUUUUUUUCAUAUAUUACAAUGUAUUUUAAGUUCUGAUGCUCAUUGUGAUGGAGAUGUGGCAGUUUCCGUUGUCAUGAUCGUUUUGGUUCUAGUUAACGGAUGAGAGACGUUAUUCUAAUUGUCAAAUAAUAUUCGUAUGGUUUAGUAUGUUAUUGUAUUUAUGUAACAGUACAUAACGUCAGAUUUGAAAGUAAAAACUAAAGGUAAUGGAUUCGAUAUAAACAAUUUAGAUAUCGUUUUAUUAAACAUAUUCGUCGGCAAAAUAAAUAUUCGUAACUUGAUCGUAAUCAUAAUGCCGAGUCAUUAAAUUAAAAAAAAUCAAACCGAGUAACACUACAUGGAAUUGAAAAUCUCUGACAUUUAUGUAUAUAAAUUAAUAUAUAAUCGAACAUGAUAAUGUGCAGGUAUAUAUAGAUAACAUACAUUUGUUUCAUGAAUACUCGUAACACGGGCGGUGAAAUUUACAGCGGCCCUAUAUAGAACAGCACUUAUAGGUGUGUGGACGCGCGUCCAUCCUUUAUGUUAUAAUGUUCAAGGGACAAGCUGCGACUAUGGAGUGGGCACCCAUCACGCACAUUGUGAUGAUACAGUGUGUUCAAUAUACUACACUAUACUAAAUACAUGAUUACUUAAUAUUAAUUAUUUAUUUUCAUAAAUAUAAAAUAAUUCAUGGAUAGCGAAAAUCAUUUUCUUGUGAUAUAUAUUUCGUUUGUUGAAUAAUUAAAUAAUAAGUAAUAGUAAGAAAAAAAUAUAUGUAUGUACGGUUUAUGGAUUAUUCGUUUUUCGUAAAACAUCGGAUCGUCACUGUAGGAAUAGUUAUAGGAAUGGUAAUAAAUAUGUUGCAUCAUACAAAAAUACAAACAUAUUUUGAACACCCUUUUCACGGUCAUACAUAAAAAUAUCCACAUUAAAUACGUGGUUUAAAAGAUUUUUUACCCUGCAGUCGAUGGACGCCAUUGACGGCUUGGAUUCGAGCAUUUUGGGGUCACUUUUUGGAGAUUAUUCGGUAUUGUGCUGGCGAUUCUAAAAACCCUUACAAAGAUCCUAAGCCCUGUUGACUGACCGAGUACCUUUGUACAAUAUAACGGUACGCUUUAACAUAUACAUUACAUCUUGAUGUAACUUACGAACAGAGAAUUUAGAUAUUGAUCACGAUGAAGAUAUUCUCAACGAGAAAUUGGCUUUGGAUUUUUAAAACUCAAUUGAGUUUGAUUGUGUUCAGCCACGUGUCCUAAAAGAUAUGUAUCAAUUUAUAUAAAUAAUAUAAUGUUUUAUUUCAAGCAUAAGUAUUUAUAUAUAAUUCCACCGUAGAUCGGAUGUAUAUAGUUUGUAGAAAUAA